CCCCGAUAGGCUAUAGCCUCUGGAAUGAGCUAUAGCUGAAAUCUAUAUGGCCCUAGGAUGGGACUGCGGCCGAUCAGGUAGUUGGUGGGGUAAUGGCCCACCAAGCCUAUAACCGGUGCGGGCUCUGAGAGGAGGAGCCCGGAGAUGGGCACUGAGACAAGGGCCCAGGUCCUAUGGGGCGCAGCAGGCGCGAAACCUCCGCAAUGGGCGAAAGCCCGACGGGGUUAGUCCGAGUGGUCCCUGCUGAAGGGGCCUUUUGCCAGCUGUAAAAAGGCUGGCGAAUAAGGGGUGGGCAAGUUUGGUGUCAGCCGCCGCGGUAAUACCAGCACCCCGAGUGGUCGGGACGAUUAUUGGGCCUAAAGCAUCCGUAGCCGGCUUAGCAAGUCCUCCGUUAAAUCCAACGGCUUAACCGUUGGGCUGCGGAGGAUACUGCUAAGCUAGGGGGCGGGAGAGGCGAGGGGUAUUCCCAGGGUAGGGGUAAAAUCCGUUGAUCCUGGGAGGACCACCAGUGGCGAAGGCGCCUCGCUAGAACGCGCCCGACGGUGAGGGAUGAAAGCUGGGGGAGCGAACCGGAUUAGAUACCCGGGUAGUCCCAGCCGUAAACGAUGUAGGCUCGAUGUUGGGUUACCCAAGUGGUAGCCCAGUGUCGCAGGGAAGCCGUUAAGCCUACCGCCUGGGGAGUACGGCCGCAAGGCUGAAACUUAAAGGAAUUGGCGGGGGAGCACCACAAGGGGUGAAGCCUGCGGUUUAAUUGG
rnacentral:rRNA from 1 species